ACAAGGUCUCCGUUGGUGAACCAGCGGAGGGAUCAUUAAAGAGUUAAAAACAACUCCUAAACCCAUGUGAAACCUACCUUUGUUGCCUCGGCAGGUCUGCAACUUACCCUGAGGGUACCUACCCUGUAGGUACCUUACCCGGUAGUUGCGGGCAUAACCUGCCGGUGGUCUACUAAACUCUGUUUACUAUGUCAUUCUGAAUAAUAUAACUAAAUAAGUUAAAACUUUCAACAACGGAUCUCUUGGUUCUGGCAUCGAUGAAGAACGCAGCGAAAUGCGAUAAGUAAUGUGAAUUGCAGAAUUCAGUGAAUCAUCGAAUCUUUGAACGCACAUUGCGCCCAUUAGUAUUCUAGUGGGCAUGCCUGUUCGAGCGUCAUUUCAACCCUUAAGCCCUGUUGCUUAGCGUUGGGAGCCUACAGAUACCCUCUGUAGUUCCUUAAAGUUAGUGGCGGAGUCGGUUUCACACUCUAGACGUAGUAAAUUUUAUCUCGCCUAUAGAUGAGCCGGUCCCUUGCCGUAAAACCCCCUAAUUUCUAAAGGUUGACCUCGGAUCAGGUAGGAAUACCCGCUGAACUUAAGCAUAUCAAUAAGCGGAGGAAAAGAAACCAACAGGGAUUGCCCUAGUAACGGCGAGUGAAGCGGCAACAGCUCAAAUUUGAAAUCUGGCCUUCGGGUCCGAGUUGUAAUUUGUAGAGGAUGCUUUUGGCGCGGUGCCUUCCGAGUUCCCUGGAACGGGACGCCUUAGAGGGUGAGAGCCCCGUACGGUUGGACACCAAGCCUCUGUAAAGCUCCUUCGACGAGUCGAGUAGUUUG
rnacentral:rRNA from 1 species